AUGUGCAAUUCAAUUCAUACCUUUAAGUCUUCAACCCCUCCGACUUCACUUAAAUCAGCCUUCAAUUCGGCAAACCAAGCAAAUUGGACUUCAAGUUAUUCAAUGGAGCAUGCCUUCAAUUCGAUUUCGGUAUUAAAGAAGUAAUCUCAUCACCCUGGUCUUUUUAAUCCCAUCCCCUGGUUGUUCAUGUCAUAUUUUGACUUGAACUCGAACGAAACACAGAAAUAACUGGAAUAUCUGAAGCCACCAGCUAUGGAGUCUGUGCUCUCCUUCUAUUUGCCACCGUGUUUGAUUCUUUCAUCUCAACAUCCCAACGCAGGUAACUCUAAUUUCAAUCGUUAGGGUUUUGAUUGAUGAUUUGUUGUUUUUUUCUUGCUUUUUAUAAUAGAUCUGGAUUCUGGAAACUGCUGAUUCAUGCUUACUACAAUUAGUAUUGACAGAGCCUGGUUCAGAUCAUUUGAGUUUGGGAUUAAAGGAGCAUGAUGAUUUUGGGGAUUUAGGGUCCGACGGACAGUUUCAAGUUGGUUGUGAAAUGGGUCAAAUAAAAAACUGGGGGGAAGUCUCCAUCUUUCUAUCAUUCUUCUUUCAACAAAAGUUGUGACAAUAUCUUAAUCAAAAAUCAACGGGCGGGCAUAGGUAGUGCAAUAAAAGGAAAUACAAAAAAAGUUCAUCAUUGUGGCUCACUUUUCAACAGUUCCUUCUCUGUUUUCAGGGUAUCUAUUGGCAUUUUGACAAGCGUAUAUAUAUUCCACUACCAGAUAUGAGUGCUUGACAACACGUCUAGGUGGCCAGGAUGACCCAUUUGUCUGGCCUCUUUGGUGCCUUUUAUAUAGAGGUUGUUGAUGGGAAGCUAUCUCAAACUUGUUAUCUUGUGGCACUUAUUUUGACUCAAAUACUAAAUUAUAUUACAAAAUGGUAAUAACUUACAUUUUCACCGCUUCAUAUAAUCAUUUGAAUUGAUUUUGGAAGAUUCUUAUACGAGUGAGGACGUUAUUGUAAUUAUAUUACACUCGAAUCAUUUCUUCGUCUGGAUUGAUAGUGGUAUCGUGUGUUGUAUUGUUUUUGUAUGAUGUUCAAAUCAAAUUCUUCUUACAAGGGCUGCAAAUGAACCGAAGGGGCCUUGUUCGUGUUCAUUUGUUA
rnacentral:lncRNA from 1 species